CAAGGCGUAGCUAUAGUACCAAAGCAUUCAGCUUACACCUGAAAGACAUCUGCAGCAAACCCAGAUCGCCUUGA
rnacentral:tRNA from 2 species